rnacentral:sRNA from 1 species
UUAUUAUUUAAUAAUUGAACUAAUAGUAUGAUGACAUUUGUCCAAAUUGGAUGAGAAUAGUUUCUCAAAGUUUCUCGGAAGAGAAACUCAACUCUCCUUCUCUCCUAUUUUUUCUCCUUCCUCUCAUAUUUUUUUUUUGUUGGGUAUCUCAUUGAGAUACUUCCAAUGAAAAUGCUCUAACUAUCUUUUUUUU